rnacentral:lncRNA from 1 species
AAAAACUCUCCCUCGGAUAAGGUACAAUACGUUUCAUCGUACAGUAGUUUAGUUUUGUCUUAAGCAGAUAAUAUUGACUUGAAUCUACUUUUCAAAGUAUUACACACAAAGUCUCUUGGCCAUAGAGAGAGAGAUAGAGAGAGAGAGUAUUAAGGAGAUAUUACAUACAUAAGCGCGCCCUUAUCAGCGGAAUAAUUACAUAACUUAUUUUUUUUUUUCCUUCCUUCCUUAAUUAUACAUGGUUUUGGAUUUCUGGUUUCAAACCGCCGAGAUGAUUAAAGGUGGCUAAUUAAGCAGCGGGAGAGUCACCGGAAGAUUGUCGGAGAUUUGUCCAGCAGGUGACAUCUCCAUCAUCUCUGUUUCUGCUCCCACAACAACAUGAUUCUUCCCCAUCUGUACGAUAAUCAUAGGUUAUUUCACUAUUCACUUUCUCUCUUUUUGUCUUCUAACACGUAUAAAUGAAUAUUCUUUUCGUUCCACCAAUUAUAUACAACUAACACCCGUUCCAUAAUUUUGCUUUCUUAAUUUGUCUGUUCUAGACUAGCCUUUAAGGGGUUCUAAGGUUUGGAAACAUGUAUCAAGCUUUUCACAAUAUCUAAUUUAACCUUGAGGAUGUAAAAGUAGCUAGACUACGUACUAGACACUUGGAACUGAGUCAAUCGGAUCCAAACCAUAAUCAUGCCAAAAAAAAAAAAAAAAGAAACUAAUCGGUUCAUAAAUCUCAAACUGAACCAAAACCUAACUAAACACUGUAACCACAAAAUAUAAAAUAAAAUAAAAAGAACCAAAACCUAAAGUAUGUCCACCAGCCAAAUAUAUAUAUAUACAAUUUUUUUUAAUCUAGUAAAGAAUAUAGCAAUAAUAACUCUUUAUUAAAAGAUAUAAAUCAUAUAAUUUACUUGACAAUAUUAUAAUGUAAUCAUGAAUUUAUAGAGUUCAUUAGAAAAACUUGUGUGGC